rnacentral:rRNA from 1 species
GACGAACGCUGACGGCGUGCUUUAGACAUGCAAGUCGAACGAGAAAGCCCUUCGGGGUUAGUAAAGUGGCGAACGGGUGAGUAACACAUGGGCAAUCUGCCCUUCGUUGGGGGACAACCGGGGGAAACCCCGGCUAAUACCUCGUAAGCUUGUCGGGUCGCAUGGCCUGACAAGGAGAGGUAGCUUCGGCCAUCCGGCGAAGGAGGAGCCCGCGGUACAUUAGCUAGUUGGUGAGGUAAAGGCCCACCAAGGCGACGAUGUAUAGCUGGUCUGAGAGGAUGAUCAGCCACACUGGGACUGAGACACGGCCCAGACUCCUACGGGAGGCAGCAGUCGGGAAUCUUGCACAAUGGGCGAAAGCCUGAUGCAGCAACGCCGUGUGAGCGACGAAGGCCCUAGGGUCGUAAAGCUCUGUUGUUAGGGACGAAGGGCGAAGGGUUAAUAGCCCUUAGCCUGACGGUACCUUUCGAGGAAGCCCCGGCUAACUACGUGCCAGCAGCCGCCGUAA